GACAAACCGAUUUCAUUGAAUUACGGUUUUUUGGAAAGCUGAUGUCAGUACUGUAGCGGGCUUUGCGCCGUUUGCACCGUUGCCUGGAUGUUGAGACAUUGGCUAGGAUGUUAACGGCUUCUAGAACUGAAAUUUUCCAAUAUUAUUCAGAGCCUCAUUCUGGUGUGAAGUGACUGGAGAUUAAUAUUAAUUUUGUGGAAUAACCUGCCAUAAACAUUUUAGAAAAGAAUCAUAGAUCCUUGGACGAUGUGGAUGCCAGCCAACAGCAAAAUUUGUGAGAACUUCAUUAUCAGUGGUUUUAUUGUACCAACAUUUUGUAAUAUACACGGAUUCAAUGCCAAGUCCUUUUUAUGAUGAUGACUAUUAGCCCAAUAUACUGUUGAUUGGAGUAACAGCCUUUCCUGUUGUUCCAUCGUUUUCUCACUUCUAAAAUCUAAGGAAAGUUCAUCAUUCCUCAUUAGUCCAUUAACUUCCGAGCUCUAGAUUCUGUCCUAGAAAUUUAUUUCCUCAGGGCUAUCUGAAUUUUUUGGAUUUUAGCAGGUCCGACCUGGACAUACUGUUGGAAGUUACAAUUGAAUAACUCUAUAAAGUGAAUGAACGUAGUAGUCAGUCUAAAUAAGAAGAAUAUAGUAAGCCUAGAUAAGUUUGUAAAACAUAUAAAUACGCCGUAUUUGUUCUAAAUAAAAUCAGUCUAUUCUGAGACGGCAAACUGGUCGUUUCAUUGUAGAUUCCGGAGUGGAAUGAAACCGUAAUUCCAACAGGUUAUGGGCCCAGACACAUUGAACUGUGGCAAUUAAUCUGCAGCGCCAGUUUGUACUGGAAGGGGUGUCAAUAACACUCGCUGUAUGAUUAAAUUGUGGUUGUUGUGUGUUCUGCGGAAAGUUUCGACGCUGGUUCGCGCUAUGGCAGUGGUGGCGGUAACUCCAAGUAUGGCGGUUGGUAUGGCAUCGUUUCGUCUGAGGAGGUAGUCACAUGGCAGAUGGUCGCGUCGAUGAUGGUCGAUGGUCAAGUCAAUGACAGACGACAGAAUUGGUCGAGUCAUGGCAGAUGACAAAUGGUCACGUCGAUGACGGUCGGUAGGCGUAAUACUGGGUGAGCAGUGCAAUCUCACAAACGGUUCAGCAUCAA